rnacentral:rRNA from 1 species
GGGCCCGCACAAGCGGUGGAGCAUGUGGUUUAAUUCGAUGAUACGCGAGGAACCUUACCAGGGCUUAAAUGUAGUAUGACCGGUCUGGAAACAGACCUUCUCUUCGGAGCAGAUUACAAGGUGCUGCAUGGUUGUCGUCAGCUCGUGCCGUGAGGUGUUAGGUUAAGUCCUGCAACGAGCGCAACCCCUAUUCUUAGUUGCCAGCGGUUCGGCCGGGGACUCUAAGAAGACUGCCAGCGCAAGCUGAGAGGAAGGUGGGGAUGACGUCAAAUCAUCACGGCCCUUAUGUCCAGGGCUGCACGCAUGCUACAAUGGCAAGUACAACGAGUCGCAAUACCGCGAGGUGGAGCAAAUCUCUUAAAGCUUGUCUCAGUUCGGAUAGGAGUCUGCAACUCGACUCCUUGAAGUUGGAGUCGCUAGUAAUCG